GCCGGGUAUGGUGACACGUGCCUGUAGUCCCAGCUACUUGGGAGGCUGAGGCAAGAGGAUUGCUUGAGCCUGGGAGGUCGAGGCUGCAGUGAGCCAUGAACGUGCCACUGUACUCCAGCCUGGGUAACAGAGAAAGAUCUUGUCUCAA
rnacentral:sRNA from 1 species